rnacentral:rRNA from 1 species
GACGUAGGGUGCGAGCGUUAAUCGGAAUUACUGGGCGUAAAGCGUGCGCAGGCGGUUCGUUGUGUCGGCGGUGAAAGCCCCGGGCUCAACCUGGGAAUGGCCGUUGAAACUGGCGAACUGGAGUGUGGCAGAGGGGGGUGGAAUUCCGCGUGUAGCAGUGAAAUGCGUAGAGAUGCGGAGGAACACCGAUGGCGAAGGCAGCCCCCUGGGCUGACACUGACGCUCAGGCACGAAAGCGUGGGGAGCAAACAGG